rnacentral:rRNA from 1 species
GGUAGUCCACGCCGUAAACGAUGAGUGCUAAGUGUUAGGGGGUUUCCGCCCCUUAGUGCUGCAGCUAACGCAUUAAGCACUCCGCCUGGGGAGUACGGUCGCAAGACUGAAACUCAAAGGAAUUGACGGGGGCCCGCACAAGCGGUGGAGCAUGUGGUUUAAUUCGAAGCAACGCGAAGAACCUUACCAGGUCUUGACAUCCUCUGACAAUCCUAGAGAUAGGACGUCCCCUUCGGGGGCAGAGUGACAGGUGGUGCAUGGUUGUCGUCAGCUCGUGUCGUGAGAUGUUGGGUUAAGUCCCGCAACGAGCGCAACCCUUGAUCUUAGUUGCCAGCAUUCAGUUGGGCACUCUAAGGUGACUGCCGGUGACAAACCGGAGGAAGGUGGGGAUGACGUCAAAUCAUCAUGCCCCUUAUGACCUGGGCUACACACGUGCUACAAUGGACAGAACAAAGGGCAGCGAAACCGCGAGGUUAAGCCAAUCCCACAAAUCUGUUCUCAGUUCGGAUCGCAGUCUGCAACUCGACUGCGUGAAGCUGGAAUCGCUAGUAAUCGCGGAUCAGCAUUCCGCGGUGAAUACGUUCCCGGUCCUUGUGCACACCGCCCUUCACAUAUCCACAGUUUGAACAUAUAUAGUCGAUGGGGAAGUAUAGAGGCCACACGAGGUGUGUGUAGAUCAGGCCC